UAUUAUUUACUUGAACCCAAAGGCCACCCUCCACUGUGGACUCAAAGCAGGGAGAUGAAGAGGACAGAGACUGAGAGA
rfam:Mesocricetus auratus contig000152, whole genome shotgun sequence.